AAAAAAAACAACCAAAAAAACAAGCCUUCAGGCAGUUGUUUUGCUAUGCUGAGUAAGGUUGGGCCCUAUCCAGUGGUUAUGCCAACAAAAUACUGGGCUGCAGAGUGAAACGCCUCCUCUCUGAGUUCAGCUGCAGGGUUAGGAAUCAUUUCCCAGCUAUCAUGCACAAAUCAGGCAUUUAUGGAAAGGUAGGACUGAUACAUGAGAGGUGGUGGGGGAGAGAUUUAUGUAAUCAUGAGACAAGGCCCUUUUCUAUAAUAAAUGUUCUGAAUGGGCAAAUUCAAAGAGUAUUGACUGAAAAACAUGAAAAAAAGAAUACCUCUGCUGUUUCCCUUCCUGUAUCCAAACAUUUUAACCAGCUGUACCUAAUUUGGAGUGGUUCUAGCCUUAGAUCUCACCUAGAGAUAGAGAAUUAGGCAGUAUGUUCUAAGAGAUAUGUGGGACAGAUAAGGAGAGUAUCAGCAGUCGGCCCCUUUAUUAUCACAUCCAACAGAGGCAGAGAUGUUGACUGAUACGUCCUGCAGUUACGUAGUGUGGUUGUAACAGUACCACUCCCUUACCAGGGGUUCACAGUAUGAUGUUCUGGUGAAGACCGGUUUUAAAAAAUUCUUGAGAGUUUCCUUUCAAAACACAGUGCUUUCGUCCAGAUCUUCAGAGGUGCUUCUAACAGGCUUGCCUUUGGGAACACAGUUCACAAACCCAAGAAGUUCCUUCUAGUUCUUUCUGAGGUAAUUACCACGACAAAGCCAGAGAGUUCCCAGGGUUCACAAACAGGCUUCAUAACACCUCAAGUGCUGUUUGUAAAGAGGUUUUGGCAAUUUGAAGACCACAUGUGUAUGAAAUACUGCCUGUCUCCGCAGUUUUGGCAUUUGGCUGCAGUUCUGGGUUCACUGUGUGAGGAAAGUGUGAUUCACAGCUGCAAAAGCUGCUCGGUCUUCAGUGCUUUGAGUACAAGGGACUGUCUCAUGCUUUUAUUUUACAGCUUGAAGGAAACACUGAUCAGUUAUAUAGGAGCUGUGUGGUUAGAGCAUUUACUCAGGAAGUUGGAGAUCUGUAUUCAACACAUUUUCUGGUCUCAGGUGACUCAAAUUCACCUCUUUUGGUGUGCUGUAGUAUCCUAGAGGAGGAUAUCCAUUCCUAACCCUCCCUUUUGAAGUUGUGCUACAACUCUGAGAGGAGUGCAGGUCUCUGAGAGCAAAGAGGAGAGGAGUUUUUCCUAAGGAGUGUUGUUCAACAGCCCCGAACUGAGAACAAUUGCCUCCCAGAGAAGCCUGCAGCCAAAAAGCCCUGGCACCAACCAGAGAGGUGGGAGGCAUCAUCUUUCUUCCAAAGUGAGAGGAGCAUUGAAGACCAGCCUAGAUUUUGAGGGUGAAAUACAGAAGAAAGAAAUGAAAUUCUAUGUCAUCCUUUCUCAAGCAUUCCCUUUAAUUAAACAUGAGAUGAAUAUGGUUAAUAUCCACACUUUAUCCGAACUUUGGCUAAUAUCCAAACUUUAUAAAUACUGCAGGAAUGUACCAGGUGUGUGAGGCUGUAAGCCUGCAGAACUUCUUACUCCACUCUUUCUGUUUUUUUUUCUACCAUGGCUAGGUUUCUUUUCUACCCAUACCUCUGGAAUUAUCCUUCAAAACUCCUUCCAUCCCCACCUGAAGGAGGGGAUCGUUCAUUUCUCAAAAUGAAGGGUCUGUAAUACAUGCAGCUGGCAGCGCUUGUUGGGAAGAAUCCAGCUAAACACCCAAUUAAGGGCACAAAGACCCUGCCUGUUCUUUCUUCCCCAAUAUUUUGGAAGGCACAGAAGAUGACCUGCAAGACAUGCUGCCAGAUGAAAAAAAAAAAAAAAAUUACUAUCAUUUUAUAAAAGUAUGAAAGAUUAAAAACAUUUUCCUCAGCAUCACAAGAAGUCUGAGCCUAGAAUUUGAUCUCUGACCCCCUGGGGGAUUGUGUACAGUACUGGCAUGAUGUUAUCAUACUCACCCUCAAAUGGCAUCUUUGAGACUAUUGCACUCCCAGCUUUUCAUAUAUAUAUAUAUAUAUUUAAUUGCUUCUGUUACAGACUUUCUGCAGUCCCUCAGAGCAAGCAAACAGGACCAUAGUGUUAUGCAUUCGAGGGAUAGACAGGAAAACAAAAUAAAUGAAAAGAGCACAGAAGUUUUAUCACUGCUGACAUCCUUUAAGUGAAUUUUAGCUAGGAAGCUAAGAAUUGAAGUCAACUGUUUUGGUAUUUCGCCAUUCAGAUAAGCAUUUCUUAUAAUCUUUCUGAUAGCAACUAAGGAUGAGGUUGGUUUUAAAUUCCAUCUGUACCUUACAUUUUUAAGAUGAUAUUAAAAGUAAUGACAGGUACAUUUGUACUCUCCCCAUGUCCCUCAGAAUCAAAGAGGCUCCUAUUUAUUGCUCUUUUUUUUUUCCCAUUUCUGUACCCAGAAUCACCAACAAGGGUAGAAAGCCACCAGAUACAGCAUACAUUUAAGGAACAAAGCUCAGUGGAUUCUAUGAAAUUAGACUUUCUUCUGACAAGAUUAAAUCAAGACAAGGAAUGAGGCAAAAAGUUUUUGAAAGAGCCCUUGGAAACAGACUUACUUUCCUCUCCAAGAUGGCAUAAUUUUCCUGAACCAGAGCCAGUUCCAUCAUUCUUCGGCACAUUCUCAUAAUCCAAACCACAAAAGCCUUCUGAUGACUAAGAGUUCUUUUUUGAAAUUUAUAUGACUGUUUAUGCUAUAUGUGAUCUAACUCAUCUUGAUGCAUCCUGCGAAGUCAGAUGUGUCCAGCUUGCACCUGAUUGACUGUGUGAAUUUUUUUGAUCUCUGCAUAUAUCCAGCUGAGCCUUCUGCUUUGCCAACAUCUAUAUUGCCUCAGUGUCACCUGAUGCUCUGGUCCAUGGUUGCAGUGCUGAGCUUUCAGUGCCUAAUGCUUUCCUGAGUCUAAGGCAUUUUUGAAUGCUUUAUGUACCCCAAACACACCAGGCAGUAUGGAAUCCUGGGCAGACUCAGGAGUGACAACUGUAAAUUAGCAACAAGCAGCAUUCAGACAGGCAGUUUUCUGUUGAAGAUGAGAUGCAGGAAAAUAUCCAGGGCUGAAAAGGAAAGAUAACUGAAUCAGAAGCAAAUAUUUCUUAGCGAACCCUUCAUAACUCAAAGAAGCUGGUGAGGAAGAAAGAAAAGAUUUUUCCUUUUGGACUGAUACUUCUUCCAUGAAGGUCUUCCUGCAGGUAGUAUAUCUGAAAGAAUAAAGAGGAACUGAAUGUGAGCAUUGUCUGGGGAAAAGGGUAAAUACUUACAUGUAAAUCAAGUCUCCAAAUUGGAGUACAAGUGAGAGAAGGUUAUCUAAGUGUUUCAUGGUUUCAUGCCUCUUUGUAUGUCUUUACAAUUACCUUUUAUACAAUAUCUUUCCUUCAACAUCGCAGGGAACUGGAUGGGAACCUAUCUCUGUCUCGAAUAAACCUGUAAAGUAAUUACAAA
rnacentral:lncRNA from 1 species